CAGUAGCCGCGGUAAUACGUAGGGUGCGAGCGUUAAUCGGAAUUACUGGGCGUAAAGCGUGCGCAGGCGGUUAUAUAAGUCAGAUGUGAAAUCCCCGGGCUCAACCUGGGAACUGCAUUUGAGACUGUAUGGCUAGAGUGUGUCAGAGGGGGGUAGAAUUCCACGUGUAGCAGUGAAAUGCGUAGAUAUGUGGAGGAAUACCGAUGGCGAAGGCAGCCCCCUGGGAUAACACUGACGCUCAUGCACGAAAGCGUGGGGAGCAAACAGGAUUAGAUACCCCAGUAGUCCCUGUCUCUUAUAC
rnacentral:rRNA from 1 species